rnacentral:lncRNA from 1 species
AGCAGAGAGGAAAGCAUUGCCCCAAUGAUAGAUCUAUCUUUGGAUGGCCUCUUCAGCCAUAGUGGAGAUCCACACUGGCCAUCUGACACCAAUUUGCUCGUUUAACACACUCUUGGAUGGGUUGCUCAGGUCCAUCCUUGGCCUCUAUCAAGGUUUCUCCACCCCUUCACCAUCAUCCGGCUUGACCUUUAUCUCCCCC